UGGUGGCGGGCCCACUUAGUGAUAAGUUUGCAAUUAUAUUGAUAUUUGUAUAGUGUUGGUAGGAUUGCCAUUAUAUAAAUUGGUAUCUGUUUUUGUUACUGUGGUAAGGAAACAGAUGAAGAUAUUUGAGGAGGGAGAGGGAGAGGGAGAGGGAGAGGGCCGAGACUGUUAGAGAGAACAUAGAGUUCACAGAGGGAGGCCGAGUUCAUAGAGGGCCGGAGCUUUGAGGCUUGGAUGAUUCAGUGAAGAGUAAUUAUUUUACGGUGUACCGAAGAUGUUUGAGGAUUUCUAGUUGCGGUUUAGAGAGGAGCUAUAUUGCGGGAUUUAUUUUAUUUAUUUGGAGAUAUUGUAUAUUUAUUUGAGAAAAUUUGAUUUUUGUAUCAAAUAAUACAAUCUCACCCAAACAAAGCCCAUGUGAGUAAUAGUCAAAGUCAAAAAAAAAUUUUGCUAAACAAA